rnacentral:ncRNA from 1 species
CUCUCUCUUGCCAGGGGAGUGGCCUGGGAGUGGGUGGGGGUGGGGGCGUGGGGGGCGGUCCGCCGCCCCCGAUGGCGCGAGAAGUCCAUUGAACCUUAUCAUUUAGAGGAAGGAGAAGUCGUAACAAGGUUUCCGUAGGUGAACCUGCGGAAGGAUCAUUG